rnacentral:rRNA from 1 species
GGCGAGGAUGGGUAGGGGUAUCGAGGGAGGAUGCCACACUGAAGUGAGACAGGUCGAGACUCCACGGAGGCGCGGUGCGGAAUCUUGCACGAUGCAGGCAGAGCGCUGAAUGCCCUGGCGACCUGACGCGGCGGUGGUAGGUCGCAUGAUAGCGUACGUCUCGAUCGUCAGUGGUGCUGUAGAGCGUCUGACAUGUCUAAGUGAUCUCGUCGUGCAGAGGCAUCUAGUGAGGUACGUCUCGCGUUAUUCUGAUUUACACUAGUAGUGCGAUCGCGGGAGUAGCUAAUUGAACCGGGUUUAACGCCCGUAGCUUAUUGGAAAGGUAAAGGGCAC